rnacentral:snoRNA from 1 species
CCGCAGGCCUCCAGCGUGGCGGCGCCAUUCCUACAGCACUUGCCAGAGCAGCCCCAGGACGGUUUGAGGCCUCUCCCCGCUCUCCCUGGGGGGUGGUUAUAGAAAUCCCGGACACCC